GUGUGUGAAGAAGCUGAGGGUGUAAAGCACUUCAAUUGUGAAGAAAAGCUAAAGAUUAUACUCUUAGCCUGACGUACUUUAGAAGAAGCACCGGCUAACUCCGUGCCAGCAGCCGCGGUAAUACGGAGGGUGCAAGCGUUAAUCGGAAUAACUGGGCGUAAAGCGUGCGUAGGUGGUUUGUUAAGUCAGAUGUGAAAGCCCCGGGCUCAACCUGGGAACUGCAUUUGAAACUGGCAAACUAGAGCAUAGGAGAGGAAAGUGGAAUUUCAGGUGUAGCGGUGAAAUGCGUAGAUAUCUGAAGGAACAUCAAUGGCGAAGGCAGCUUUCUGGACUAAUACUGACACUGAGGUACGAAAGCGUGGGUAGCAAACAGGAUUAGAUACCCUGGUAGUCCACGCCGUAAACGAUGACAACUAGCCGUUGGGAGGGUUUACCUCUUAGUGGCGAAGCUAACGCGUUAAGUUGUCCGCCUGGGGAGUACGGCCGCAAGGUUAAAACUCAAAGGAAUUGACGGGGACCCGCACAAGCGGUGGAGCAUGUGGUUUAAUUCGAUGCAACGCGAAGAACCUUACCUGGUCUUGACAUACACGGAACUUUCCAGAGAUGGAUUGGUGCCUUCGGGAACCGUGAUACAGGUGCUGCAUGGCUGUCGUCAGCUCGUGUCGUGAGAUGUUGGGUUAAGUCCCGUAACGAGCGCAACCCCUAUCCUUAUUUGCCAGCACAUCAUGGUGGGAACUAUAAGGAGACUGCCGGUGAUAAACCGGAGGAAGGCGGGGACGACGUCAAGUCAUCAUGGCCCUUACGACCAGGGCUACACACGUGCUACAAUGGGAAGGACAAAGGGUUGCUAAGCCGCGAGGUGGUGCUAAUCUCAUAAACCUUUUCGUAGUCCGGAUCGGAGUCUGCAACUCGACUCCGUGAAGUCGGAAUCGCUAGUAAUCGUGGAUCAGAAUGCCACGGUGAAUACGUUCCCGGGUCUUGUACACACCGCCCGUCAUACCAUGGGAGUGGGUUGCACCAGAAGUAGCUAGUCUAACUGUUUACAGGGGACGGUUACCACGGUGUGAUUCAUGACUGGGGUAAAGUCGUAACAAGGUAACCAAGGGCGAAUCGCGCCCGCUAUUGCC
rnacentral:rRNA from 2 species